CAGUAGCCGCGGGAAUACGUAGGUGGCAAGCGUUAUCCGGAAUUAUUGGGCGUAAAGCGCGCGUAGGCGGUUUUUUAAGUCUGAUGUGAAAGCCCACGGCUCAACCGUGGAGGGUCAUUGGAAACUGGAAAACUUGAGUGCAGAAGAGGAAAGUGGAAUUCCAUGUGUAGCGGUGAAAUGCGCAGAGGUAUGGAGGAACACCAGUGGCGAAGGCGACUUUCUGGUCUGUAACUGACGCUGAUGUGCGAAAGCGUGGGGAGCAAACAGGAUUAGAUACCCCCGUAGUCCCUGUCUCUUAUAC
rnacentral:rRNA from 1 species